rnacentral:rRNA from 1 species
UACGUAGGGUGCGAGCGUUGUUCGGAAUUACUGGGCGUAAAGGGCGCGUAGGCGGGCCUAUAAGUCGAUUGUGAAAGCCCCGGGCUUAACCUGGGAACAGCAGUCGAAACUGUAGGUCUUGGAUGCCUGAGAGGAUGGCGGAAUUCCCGGUGUAGAAGUGAAAUUCGUAGAUAUCGGGAAGAACACCUGAGGCGAAGGCGGCUGUCUGGCGGUGCAUCGACGCUGAGGCGCGAAAGCGUGGGGAGCAAACAGG